ACUUUUGGACUCAAGAAAUUUGUUAAAGUGUCCCUACCGAUUGUUGUUAGGAAAAAACACGUAAUUUUCUCAUUUACGACACAUUUUUCUAAAAACCGCAGAGUGGCGCCACUGCAGUAUUUGUUUGGUCGACAUACCACGUUGGUUGUCGUAAAGUGCGGUAUUUGAGUUAUAUUUUAGAAGAGCCUAGACAAAAUGUGCUCCUUGUCAUGUGCAGUAACCAUCGCAAACCCUCCGGACUCGUGUAACGCCGUUAGUUCGCCGUGUGUUUCGUGCGAUCUACCAGUGUCGACAGUGAGUGUCUUACUACAGCGCCCGUCCGAGCUGCCUUUGUUCUGCCGAGCUGCCUGCAAGCGCUCCCGUGAAAAGUCUGGUACUGGAGCUUCGAAUCGUAGUGUAUGGAAGGCUGUUGAAGGUUGUGCUUUUGUGGAGCUGGAGUUCAUCGGAAGUUCUACAGUGCUUGCGCCAGAAAGACGUCGGUGCCUCGGUACCUUUGAGACGAAGGAGCGUUGGCCAAGUCUUUUUGAAAGGCUAUGCGGAUUCUGGAGGCAUCCCUACAUCGAGCAGGAACCUGCUGCACUGCUGGAAGCUGGACAGCACGACAAUAAAGCACGUGAUCUGCGUGCUUUCUCAAAGGUAGACAUCGGCGACGGUGUAUAUGUUGAAAAGGGCCUGCUGAAGAGGCUGCGCCUGGAUGCUAACAACUCGGGCUUUCAGUUCGCGGGGGGCCUCCUUAAGGCUCCUUUUACAAAAGUAGAGGUUGAAGGGAGGCGCUACACAUGGAUGCGCAGCAAUUGUUUGUGACAGCGUCACUGCUGGCAGGCCUGGCCUGCCUUUUCGCUUCGUUCUGGGUCUUCCACGUUAUCUACUCGAAAAAGGCCCACAGGAUUUUGACAUUUAUUCAGCACUGCUUUCUUGAUUUUUACUACACAAAGCUGCAGGUGAAAGCAUUGGAUUUACUCAAUUUUUACAAGACAAAACUAUUGCUAGGCAAAAAAAUUUUUAGAUGCAUAUCCUCAAGAAAGUUUCUGUAAAAAUGAUUUUGCCUAACGAAAGCACUCGUGGGUUCUGUGGCUGGCAGGUUGCCCAAGCCAUGUAGCACAGUGCUUGCUUUAAAGGGACACGAAAGAGAAAAUUUAUUUGAGCUUUAUUAAAUCAUUCUUCUACCGCACUGAAAAAACAACUCCCACCAUGAGAAUUGGCUUGAUAAGCCAGAUAACUUGCAAAAAUGAAAACUGGUGUCGCCACCACCACCUUAUAGUUCCUGCACCAGCUCGCUGUGAUAUGGAAUUUGACGGUGUCUGGUCGGGUCUAGCUGAUGUUCUACUGGCCAAUAUUGAUGAAUUCUGUUGUAAAGGUGUCAAAGAAUAUGCUUAGUUGAAGUAUGACUCCACACUGAUGUGCGGGCACUGCAUAAAACUUGAAAAAUGAAAGUUAUAUCUUCAUUUUCUCAUGUAUUAAUCCGCUUAUUGCCACAAUGUUCAUGAAUACAGUUCUGAAAGAUUGUUUUAUCAGUCUAAAAUGAUUUACUGUUUCUCUUUAGUAUCUCUGUAAUGGACCUUCAGCAACAAAAUGUGUGUUAGUAUGCCACAGGUAUUCUCAGCAGGGGCAAAAGCACCAGCAGCAUGCUGAAUGAUUCUGUACCAACUGAUAACUUGAAGGAUGUCCUGUGCCACUAGGGUUAGGCCAACGUGGCUCUGUGUUAAUCACCACAAGUGUAUUAUGCAAAACUUAAUGGCCCAGAAAUUGGUAAUUCAGGGGGGAGUUGAAUUAGCUAUUUUUAUUUCUUUUUUUUUUCUUUAUCAUGGACUUCUCACAUUACACUUUGUCACAACGCAUUCACUUUAAAGUAACUGUGGAGAAUAAGGUGGUUUGGUAUUCAGACAUGCCUUCUGUGUGUAAACAGUGUUAGAUGAGCAAUACAAAGAUACACUAUAGAUGCUGACUAGCAAAAUGAAGGGGUUUGAGGGCAGAUACAAGUAUACAUCCUUGUAGUCGUACCUGUAGCACUAUGUUCAAUUUGUCACACAAGCAUAUGGCAUCCAUCACAACUGCAUGCCUAGAAACAGACAAGGGCAACACACUCAAUUCCCUUUUAGUCUAUCUAAGAAGCACUACAAUUUUUAGGCAACGAAAUUGAAAUCUGGCUUGUACCCAUAAGUACUGCAAUACAGUUGCGCAACAUGUUCCUCUUGUGUGGAAAAAGGGCUGCAUAUGUUUUCUUUGAGCACAAGGGGGAGUGGUAUCAGUUAGAGCCCCUCCAUCCACGCGCCACUGCAGCUUUCUUAAGUAGCGACAACCUUUGUUGUGCGCCGCCUUUUCUCCUCACACCAAAUCCUGUUCCAGCAUUUCUGUUUUAAAAGUUUCCGGUUCCGGCGUUACCGCUUCCUGGAGUUGUGCUGCGGGAAUUUCCGCUUUGACUGCCGAUGGUCAGACGCCCACGUGUGCUUAGCAGAGCUGUGGGAGUCGCCAUGAGAAGAAUGCAAAGGCGACAAGCUGUUAUAUUCCGCUGAAGUAGUAAUUCGCGGUCGCUGUUUUCUAAAUGCACGAAAAACGGCAGUGGUCUCCAAGCGCCAGGCACUACAUUCCACUGUACGUUGUCUCUCGUGGCACAACCCGUCACAGGUUGACGUGAAACAGCGAACACGAUCAGAUCGCUGAUUACAAUAGGCGGUGGUACUUGGAUGGAAUCGCAUUCACAGUUUAAACCGCAGCUGGUGCA